GAAAAGCACUCUGAAGAGAGAGUCAAAAGACCGUGAAACCGCUCAGAGUAUAAGCCAAUGGAGCUUGGAAGGCUUCCGCAGUGUCGGCCAUCCAUGUGGUGUGUCGUGAGGCAUGUAGCACGGUUCGUUGGGCGGAGCAUUGAGUUUGCCGACCAGCUUACGUGCGGGGAUUCGGUUUGGGGGUCUUAGGCUUCGGCCGAAGGGCUCCUGGCCGUUUCUUUUUGAAUGAACGUUCAGAGCUACUGUGUCCUAAUGCGGUUAUGCCCACCACGGCACGUUGUGAGGUCACCCACAGGCUCAAACUGCCGAUCGCGCAUCCAGGACGAUGGCAACGAUGCGUUGUUCAGCUCGAUCAUUGAGUGGAGCUGCCACGCGUGUCUAGUCCUGGGUCGGGCGGCGACCGAGAUAAACCUGGUAUGAUCCUCUUGCGACGAGCUGCUUUCUGGCCAGACCGACGUCCAGGCGCUUCCACUGUGCCGGAAGCGUCAAUCCCAGGCGGUUUGAACCCAGCUGCAUUCUGCAAGGUCUCUCAGCCGGGCGUUGGUCUGAGUGGUGUUAAGUCCAGCACCAUCGGUCACGUCUCGAAACACGGGCCAAGGAGUAUAGCAUGUGUGCAAGUCUAAGGGUCUCACAAAACCCGAAGGCGAAGUGAAAGCAAGACUGUGGCGGGGGAGCUACGGCGAACCCGCCGGCCUUGUGGCGCACUCCGUGUGUUGCUCGGCUUUUAGCAGAGCUGAUCCUGCUUCUCGGUUAAUUCUUGGUGCAGGCGCAAGCUCCGGGCUCACGUACAACACUGGUCACCUCGUGUGGCUGUGUUGUGAGCACCGUGGAGCAUGCAUGCUAU
rnacentral:rRNA from 1 species